rnacentral:rRNA from 1 species
AUUGGACGCUGGCGGCAGGCCUAACACAUGCAAGUCGAGCGGAUGAAGGGAGCUUGCUCCUGGAUUCAGCGGCGGACGGGUGAGUAAUGCCUAGGAAUCUGCCUGGUAGUGGGGGAUAACGUCCGGAAACGGGCGCUAAUACCGCAUACGACCUGUGGGAGAAAGUGGGGGAUCUUCGGACCUCACGCUAUCAGAUGAGCCUAGGUCUGAUUAGCUAGUUGGUGGGGUAAAGGCCUACCAAGGCGACGAUCCGUAACUGGUCUGAGAGGAUGAUCAGCAACACUGGAACUGAGACACGGUCCAGACUCCUACGGGAGGCAGCAGUGGGGAAUAUUGGACAAUGGGCGAAAGCCUGAUCCAGCCAUGCCGCGUGUGUGAAGAAGGUCUUCGGAUUGUAAAGCACUUUAAGUUGGGAGGAAGGGCAGUAAGUUAAUACCUUGCUGUUUUGACGUUACCAACAGAAUAAGCACCGGCUAACUUCGUG